rnacentral:lncRNA from 1 species
GACUUUAAUUUUUUUAGGCCAAGACUGACCUUAUCCUUUCCCCCAGCAGAUUUUUCUUCUUCUUCAUCCAUGCUCCACGCCAUUCUUGAAGCUUCCAUGCCAUUUUCUCUUUAUCCACCAUGAAAUCAAGUUUUAUUCGUUUUCCUUUCCAUGUUUUCUUUUCCUUUCUUCUCCAAACUUCUUGAGCAUUAAAUUUACAACCUUUAACCCCAAUUUCCAGCACACCAAAACCCUAGGAGGAGAAGAAAGAAAAAAGAGAGAAAGGAAGAAAAAGCUUGGUUUUGGUGAUUCAAGCAAGGAACGGUAAGAAUUCUUGUUUUUGGCUUGAGUAGUCUUUGAAAAUGAGUUAGUGACUUAGAGAAAUGUCUUGUGGNNNNNNNNNNNNNNNNNNNNNNNNNNNNNNNNNNNNNNNNNNNNNNNNNNNNNNNNNNNNNNNNNNNNNNNNNNNNNNNNNNNNNNNNNNNNNNNNNNNNNNNNNNNNNNNNNNNNNNNNNNNNNNNNNNNNNNNNNNNNNNNNNNNNNNNNNNNNNNNNNNNNGGUACAUGAAGGACUCAAAGUGGAAAAAGAAAACGGUAAGCUUAACACUAUGUUUUAAAGCCUACGGUUAGUUGAAUAUUGUGGGAAAUUAUGGUUGUUGAAAGGAUCUACUUGCAUAUGCUAGUUGAAAAUUUUUAAGAUUGAUGGCAUGUCAUUUGAAAGAAAUGAAAAAGGAAUAUUGUGGAUGGAGGAUUGAGAAACAAAGUAUUGAAAGUUAGAUAGAUAACGAUGCGUGUAAACUAGGAAAUAUUCGAGUGAAAGUAAGAAUGAUUGUUGCUGCCAUAUAUGUGGAUUAUGUGUGGAAAUAUAAGAUGGAUUUAGGUGGAAAUUAUUUAGAAAGGCUGAAGUAGACACGUGACAUCAUAAUUAAGUUGCCGGUGAUAUAAUUUAAGGAAUUACGUAAGCAAUCGAUAUAAGUAAUUUUAGUAAAAAUGUAUUAAGAUGUGAGUUAAUUGAAGAUGGUUUCAUGAUAUGAAGAAAAAUAUAAAUUUGAGUAAGGAUUAAUUGAUUGAAGUGCUGCUCGUAUACAUAUGUAAUUAAAUAUAUUGAGUUCGUAUUAUUGCUAGGAAGUGUAAAGAUAAAGUUAGAGUAUUGUGGAGGCGUAUCGGAGUAAAUAACGAGUGACCGGCCAGUGAAAAUAGUUAAAGACACCUCCGAACAAAUAGCAACUUAAUAUCUCGUUGUUGCCAGGUGAGUGAACUUGCAUUAAAAUGUUUUAAAAUAAAUGAUUUUAUGCUUGAUUGAGCCAUUUGAAAUAUUUUGUUGGUUUUUCUUUAAAAGUUGCAUGGGAACAAGCCCUUGAUGAAAUGUUUUGAUAUUAUGAGAUAUGAAUAUGAUGAAUUCAUGAGUUUCUACAUUAUGUUGAUGUGUGUAUUAUACAUUAAAUGAUAUUUUUUGUGAUAAUUAUGACCCAACCAUGUACUAUGUAGAAGUGCACAUGAGCUGUGCUGACCCAGCCAUGUGUGGUGUAAGAGUGCACAUGAGCUGUGCUAACCCAGCCAUGUACGGUGUAUGAGUGCACAUGAGCUGUGCUAACCCUGCUAUGUGCGGUGUGGUAGUGCACAUAAGCUAAGACAGAGUUGGGGGAAAGGCCGGGGGUUAUAUAUAUGUUUUUAUAUGAUAUAUAUAUAUAGAGGUUUUGGAAAUUAUAUUGUGGUUGCAUUGUUUUUUGAAUGUUAAAACUUGAGAAACAGUUUCCACUUGAUUUUCACCGCAGCAAAGACAGAUUUCUGUUGUGACAAGAAAUUGAGUUAAAUUGCAUUGUCUUCAACAUAAAUGCAUCAUGAUUUCUAAAACCUCCCGUAUUGAUGAUUGUUCCCUUUCUAUGUUGACUCACUGAAUUUAUACUCACGUUUUUAAAAUUCAUGUUUUAGGUUUCCUGAGUUAAAGGUGAUUGGAUCCUAGAACGAUGUGCUCCUCCCUGUAUAUUACUCGGUAGGUUUUAAUGUGACACUAAGUGUUAUCAAUCGUGCCUAGAGUCACUCCGCUAACAGUCAAGAUCUAAUUAUGUGUAUGUGAAUAUUUAAUGUGAACAUUAAGAAUCAUUGUUAAUCUAUUAAUGAAUAUAUUGGUGGAUGAUGCCAUUAUGAAUGUACGAUUAGGUUUUAUGAAUCGUUUUCAAAGAAACGGUAUUUGAACAUUUUGAGCUUUGGAUUCUAAAAGAAUAGGGAUUAAUGUAUAAGAUCAAUUAAGUAGGCUUGCUUGGGCUUAAUGGGCUUAGCCCAUUAGGCCCUUGUGCUAGUCAUGGCCUUGAAAUUGGGCUGUGACAGAUGUGGUAUCAGAGCUCUAGGUUUAGAUGAGUCUUAAAGAUUCUUGUAUGGUCAGCGGAGUUGUUGGAGUUCGUGUAUAGUCUUGUCCUUGGAUUGUGGGUGCGCAACGCAAGUCAAGGACAAGAGGUUUCGUGGGCCCCUACUUUAUUAGAAACUUACUUGUUCUUAUGAUGUCUAGAUGGAUGAGUAAAUAAUACUUGGUUGCGUAUAGGUGGAGGUGCACCGGUUGCACACGUCAUGUCUAGAAAAGAUGGUAGUCUCGAUACCCCUCAUAAUACAAGCGAGAGAUCGCUAAAUUCCACUGCUCAGAGCAGAUAUAUGCUUGAAAGUGAAAGAAUAACAAGUAACUUGACUCUAUUUUUGAGUGGAUCGGUUCCCCUGAGAGGUAAACCACUAUUUAAGAGCUUGAGGAGUCUCGCAAGACUGGUGCAUAAUGAAAUCGAUCCAAGGAAAAAGAACACGAACAAGAUGGAAAAAAAUGAUUAUCAGUAAUUAUCGUCCUAGAAAGGUAUCUAUAUCCGUUGUCUGACACUUUCCUCCUGAUUGUGGCAGAGGUGCUACACCUGUUAGUAAGGAGGAAUUUGAGAGGUAGCAACAAGCUCAGAUUAAGGAUAAAAUGGAAAAAUCUCAGGAGAUGGAAAAGGACCCGAAAGAGGAUCCAUCGAUGUGCCUGGAUUAUGGCGACGAGGAUCCUAAAGACACAUAAUAUUUUCAUUAAAGUUCGAAUCACUUUAAGUCCAGACAGAUGCGGUGUAAGGGAAAUAGUAGUAGUUAUCUGUACAAAGGAAUUAAGAGUUGGCUUUUAUUUUGUAUGACUUAAAUGGAUUAUGAAGUAGCUAUUUUAAUGACUUGAUGCAUAUUGGAGUCCUUUGAUACGAUAGAGAUAGAUUAGCGAUAUAAUGAUUGAGGGAGGAUAUUCACCUUAGUGGCGUCAUUGGUUACCUUGGAUAAUUAUUAAAGAUCGACGUACAAACUCAUUAAUGGUACAAGAAACUAUGAGACCUGACAAAUGAUUACCAAUUAAUCAUGGAAAUGUGAAAUUUGGAAUUCUAGUUACAGUUACAAUUCGGAAGGAUAUGGGAGAAAUCAAUAAGGCUAUAGGUGACACUUAGAAUGGAUGUUGUGAUUAAGUCAAGGAUUGUAAAAUUUAAGUAUGGAGGGAAUUACAAAAUGAUGCCAUGACAUUAUAAGAUGAUAAUUUGGCACAAAUAUGGACUAAGGGAGGCAAUUAUGGAACUUGAGAAAAGGUGAAUCCUUGAUUUAAUAAAGAUUGUGAGUGUAGAGCGUGGAGAAAGAUGAACUAUUUUCAUGGUCAUUUGUACUAAAAGUUAACAAAACUAUUUGAGUUACAAGACAAGAAAGACAAUUAAUUGUGAAUGUUAAGGAAUUAAGGAAUGUCAUAAAUGUUGAAUAUUUAUGUGUGUGGUAUUAUAUAUUGAGAAUUUGAUGCACAAUAUGGCAAGAUUGUCCUAAGGUGGGACUUAUUGGUUGAAGGUAAUGUUAAAGGAUAAAAUGAGUUUGAAAAUAUUGACUUGGCUAAGUGCAUAUGAGAAGCAAAAGAGAAGAUACGCAUAGUCAUGAAAAUUAUGGGAUAGGCCUGGAGAAAAAGCAAAUGGAUGAGUUUGAUCCCCGUAGUAGAUUUAAAGAUGGAAGAACUUAUUCGUGAAAGAAAUUUCCAGCAGCCAUAGUGCUGCAACACUAACUCUUUAGCGCUACAGUGUUGAAAUUAUCCCAUGUCUAGUAGCCGCAACGCUGCAGCACUAACUGUCCAGCGUCGCAGUUCUAUGAAUACCUCAUGUCUACGAUGCAUGAGCAAGAUGGGAGUGGCACAAUAAUGAGCUUACAAGUUGAAUUAUGAUCAUUGGUCAUUGAGCUUUGUUAUUUGGGAGUUUUAAAUGUUCUGGAGAAUGUUUACAUGAAUGAAUUGAAAAGUUUCUUUAUUACCUUGUAUAUGGGCAUAUAAUUGAAAGAGAAGUUGAAAGAUUCUUGAGAUGGCUACCUUGAGAUAAGAUACCAUGUGAAGUAUUAGGAUGAAUAAUAUGUUGACCAAAGUCAAAUCCUAAGAAAUAAAGGAGACAAGAGAUUAAGCCUUGUUAAAGGCUAAGGAAAAAGUGAGUGAAGAGUUAGGUGAAUCUAUGAGAGAUGGGUAAAGGAUGUCAAUACCAAGUGAUGAAACUGUGAAUGAAGGAUUACAAGGGUGGUAUAGCAAACGAGUUUAUAUAGAAUAUCGUUAUGAGAAUUUGAAAUUCUUGUCUUGACCCAACUAAAUGAAGAGGAGUAGUAACAACACAAGGCCAAUUGUGUGGCACACUAGAAACCUAUGAAGAUGAAUUGCGGAUCGGAUGGACGAGUAUGUAUUUGUAUAUCUUUAAGAAUAAGUGCAUGUCUAUAGAAUGAUAUGCUCGGGAUGUUAAGGAACAAAUAAGAGACUAAGUGUUUCAGGAAUGCAUAAACAUCCUUGGAAAGGAAUUACCAAUCAUAAGCGGCCAGUAUAAAAUGUGGGAAUUUGAAACUUGCUAAAGAGCCUGACGGCUAAACCACGAGUUAUAUGGUCAUGUGCAGUGAGACAUAAGUUUAAGGUGGCUAUCUGUAAGGAAAUACUCAAAAGGAAUCCUUCUAUGAAUCUUGUGAAAACAAGCAUUAAGUUAUGUGGUUACAAAGAAAAAGUCGUAAGUUGAAAGUGAGAUUCGUAUUGACGUUGAAAAAAAAAUACUUAAGAAGAACCUUGUUUCAAGUCUUGCAGUUUCAAAUACAAACUACGGAUUGGUCCGAGGAGAAUGGUGUCAUAUUAGUAUGAAAGAAUAGAACAAAGGAUGAUCGAAGAUAAUUUGGAUAAUGAAGUCCAAUAAUGAAAACUUCCUAAGGUAGUAUGGAAAUUGGAAUUCGAAAAUGCUUAAGGCGUGCACCAUUCGAAUAAUUCUAAAUUUUAAGUGAUUCAUUAAAGUCGAAAUGCAACAAAGAUGUAAUGUAUAUAUUAGAGGUAUGAAGAAUAAUUGAGAAAUAAGGAUGACUUUUAGAGAUUGUGGUAUUACAUAAGAUGCAAUGAUCAAGUAAGAGAUAAAUCUUUGAAGGAUCAACGAGGUUAUAAAGCAUAUACAAAUACCGGAUUGCAAUUUAAUGAAAAUGACAUUUGGCAAGUGAGAUGUGAUUAAUGACAUUGUGAUGCAAGGAUAUAUAGUACAAUGAAACUUAAGUGUAUAAUUGGAAAUGAUAAGAAAAGAGUAUGGGCAUGAAAAUGAUGUGAAGCUAUGCAUAGGCAUAAUGAGAAUUCUUAUGGAUUACGUAAGAGAUAACUUAUGGUAAGAUGUGAGUGGAAUGGUGAUUUAAAUAUAUAAAAAGGGUAAUCUGAAAUUGAUUAUACCCCAAUGCUCAUAGAUUAAAUAUGAGAACGUUGACAUGAACUAUGAGGAUUAUUAUAUUGAAUCAUGGAUAGAGAUGGGGAUGAAUAAAUGAAGAUGUAGUCCAAGGCUCGCGAACACAUGGAUCCCUAUGCGUAACGAGGAAUGCUGACAUUUGGAAAUGAAUGUACACAUGUAUAUGUGAAAUUGAUGACUUGACCAACUGAGGUGAAGAAUUGUUCUCAGUAAUUUGAGAUUUGAACUUUAUGUUUUUGAUGAGUUGUAUAGAUGGUACAAUUGCAAGAAGUCCCAUUGGAAGUUGAACUAUGAUGAUAUAAGAAAGUUUGGGAAAAAUAGUUAGAGAAAUGAGAUUAAAGAAAUGUAAUCCAUAACGUGGGAAUAAUUGAAGUAUGUGGCGUAAAUGCAAGAUAAACCUGAAGUAUGUGGGAAUAAUUAGAGGCAUUAACCUUUUUCGACGUUGAGACUAUGUAUAGAAAUGAAUAUGGCAUGUUUAUAAUGCUGCAGGUUACAUAAUAGUGUAUAGGGAUAAGAUGAAUGAAUGAAUGUUGAGAAGUUUGGCAAGGAGCGAAAUAAUAAGAUGGUGAUUAGGCAUACAUAAGUAAGUAUAAUAUGUGAUUGAAAUCAGUAUGAUUGAGAUAGAGUUAUGGUUCAAAUUUAAUGAUGGUGAUAAAAGUGUACUCAACAUCUUAAAAUAAGAGAUAAUGAUCGUGAAAGCUACCAUCGAUUUGAUUCUAAAGGAUGAUAAUAGACAUAAGUGAGGCAUUCUAGUCGAAUAGGAGGUAAACGAGGUGAAUGAAUGAUUGGAGGUUUGACAAGAAUUGAAAUAAAGAUAUGUUUGAGGUUAGUGACGGAAUUAAAGGCAUACUCGAGAUCUUAGUGAUAAGAAAGAAUAAUUGAGAAGGGUGCCGUGGUUUUAACUCAAAGAUGGUAAUAGAUAUAAAAUACGUACCCUGAUCUUGUAAAGUGUUCUAGUCAAAUUGAAGGUAAUGAAGUUCAUAAAUCAAAAUUUCUUAUGAAGAAGGAAAAUGAAUAAGAUCAUAGAGAGAGAUUGAUAACUCAACACCGACGUAAAUUCGAGGACGAAUUCUAUUUAAGUGGGGGAGACUAUAAUACCUCGUACUUUGAUAUGGUGACUAAUAAAGCUUAUUGGAUGCCAAUUAAGGUUAAUUAUAAUGUUUAAAAAUUAUUAAAGAUGAAUGGAAUGGUUUGGGAUAAAAUAUUUCGCACGCGAGGAAAUAAUAAUAAAAAAAUAAUUUUUUUCGAAGAAGAAUUUGCAAGAUAAAAAGUGAUUCGGAAGUCAAUUGAGGCAUAAAAAGGUAUUUUUGGUACCAAGGGGACAAGAGGAGACAAGAGGAAAUUUUUAGAAUAAAAUAAUAUUAAAAUAUUAAUAUUUUAUUCAGUGUCAAAAUUUUUCAUGAAGAAUGAGUCUAUGGGCAACCUAAGUGGCGGAGAAGAACAAUGAGAAAACUUUCGGAGAAAAAUGACGUUAAUGGGGCUACGUGUCUUUAUUAAGUAAAGAUAGCGCAUGUAAAUAAAUAUUUUAAAUAUUAUGGAGACAUUGCGUUGGAGUACCAACUUCAUACUUUGUUUGUACAUAUGUAAAAGAAGAUAAUAGAAGGAAAUUGGAGUUAAAUGAGUGCUGGGAGGACUAAAUUAAAAUGGAAAAAUACUUAAAGGGUAAAAUGGUAAUUUUGCAUAAAGUUUGGUCAAAGCUUCCAAAAAAAGCUUUGACUCUCAUCCUUAUCAGCCCAAAACAGUCCUUAUCCUCCCAACAAGAUAUUUUCUUCUUCAUUUUUGAAGCUUCCAACGCCAUUCUCUCAUUCUUCCAUGGAAAGCUAAUUUUUUUUCAUUUUCUUUCCUUGUUUUCUUUUCAUUUCUUUUCUCUUCUUGCUUCAUUCUUCUCCCAACUUCUUGCGCACCAAAGUUAUAACUUCUAACCCCAAUUUCCAGCACAUAUAAACUCUAGGAGAAGAAGAAACAAAAAGAGAGAAAGGAAAAAAAAAGCCUGGUUUUGAUGAUUCAAGCAAGGAACGGUAAGAAUUCUUGUUUUUUGGCUUGAGUAGUCUUUGAAAAUGAGUUAGUGACUUAGAGAAAUCUCUUGUGGCAGCAAAGAUUGGCUUGAUUGGAGAAAAAUUGAUAACAUGUAAGCCAAUAAACCCAUGGAUACAUGAAGGACUCAAAGUGGAAAAGGAAAACGGUAAGCUUAACACUAUGUUUUAAAGCCUACGGUUAGUUGAAUAUUGUGGGACAGUAUGGUUGUUGAAA